GACAUCGUGGCCUAAUGGUUAGUGUGUUGGACUCUGGAUCGAGCGGUCCUGGUUCGAGCACUGGCCAGGGUCA